rnacentral:rRNA from 1 species
GACGAACGCUGGCGGCGUGCUUAACACAUGCAAGUCGAACGGUAAGGCCCUUCGGGGUACACGAGUGGCGAACGGGUGAGUAACACGUAGGUGAUCUGCCCUGCACUUCGGGAUAAGCCUGGGAAACUGGGUCUAAUACCGGAUAGGACCACUGCCUGCAUGGGUGGUGGUGGAAAGCUUUUGCGGUGCGGGAUGGGCCCGCGGCCUAUCAGCUUGUUGGUGGGGUGAUGGCCUACCAAGGCGACGACGGGUAGCCGGCCUGAGAGGGUGACCGGCCACACUGGGACUGGGAUACGGCCCAGACUCCUACGGGAGGCAGCAGUGGGGAAUAUUGCACAAUGGGCGCAAGCCUGAUGCAGCGACGCCGCGUGAGGGAUGACGGCCUUCGGGUUGUAAACCUCUUUCAGCACCGACGAAGCGCAAGUGACGGUAGGUGCAGAAGAAGGACCGGCCAACUACGUGCCUGCAGCCGCGGUAA